AUUGAACGCUGGCGGCAGGCCUAACACAUGCAAGUCGAGCGAGCGGCGGACGGGUGAGUAAUGUCUGGGAAACUGCCUGAUGGAGGGGGAUAACUACUGGAAACGGUAGCUAAUACCGCAUACCAUCAGAUGUGCCCAGGUGGGAUUAGCUAGUAGGUGGGGUAACGGCUCACCUAGGCGACGAUCCCUAGCUGGUCUGAGAGGAUGACCAGCCACACUGGAACUGAGACACUGUCCCGACUCCUACGUGAGGCAGCGUUGGGGAAUAUUGCACAAUGGGCGCCAUCCUUAUGCAGGCUUGCCGCGUGUGUGACGAAGGCCUUCUGGUUCUAAAGCACUUUCAGCGGGGAGGCGUUACCCGCAGAGGAAGCACCGGCUAACUCCGUGCCAGCAGCCGCGGUAAUUC
rnacentral:rRNA from 1 species